rnacentral:ncRNA from 2 species
CCCUAUGUUGUGUCCGUCGGUGCCAACCACCCGGUUGGCUUUGAAAGGGAAGCCGGUGCGGACCAUGUCCAAUGCCGGCGCUGCCCCGCAGCGGUAGCGGAAACGAUCGCCGUCAUUGCACUGGGUCCAACCACCCGGGAAGCGACGGCCAGUAGGAGGACCGGUCCAUGGUCCGCGUCCGGAGCCCGAAGACCUGCCGACACCCGCGCGAAGCA